AGUAAUAAACUCUCAAAUGAUCCUAGUUUACUUUGAUGCUUUCGGAAUUCCCCUACUAGCUGCAGUGGUUUCCUGCCGUUUGCUAGCUGGAGAGUUGCCUGUGCACACUCUCUCAGCCUUUGGGAUGAGCCCUUGCCUCUCCGAGCUUGUCUUAACACAUUAUUUAUUCUGCAGCUCUUCUCCUGGCCUGAGCAGUACCGGGGUUGCUACGACUGCACUAAGGGGCCUAACCCUCUUGCCCCAGCCUUUGAGGGGGAAAAGAUUGUUCCUGACUCCGUUUAUUUCCAGGUAGAAAAGAAUCAGCUCUGCAGCGUGAAGGCGAAGGCGAGGGAAGAAAGGAGGAAAAAGAACUUAAGAAAGUAAAGAAAGAGACUGUCACAGUGACCAUUCCUCUGCUAUCAAUCAUUGGUGGCGGUGGAGGAGAGUCUUGCUCUGUUGCCCAGGCUGCAGUGCAAUGGUGCGAUCUUGGCUCACUGGAACCUCCUCCUCCUGGGUUCAAGCAAUUCUCCUGCUUCAGCCUC